rnacentral:rRNA from 1 species
AGCUCCAAUAGCGUAUAUUAAAGUUGUUGCAGUUAAAAAGCUCGUAGUUGAAUUUCAGGCGAGACCACCGGUCCACCCAAGGGUGCGUACUGGCCAGUUUCGCCUUACCUUCUGGGGAACUUGAGUGCCCUUUAUUGGGUGUUUAAGCAAGCCAGAAUCUUUACUUUGAAAAAAUUAGAGUGUUUAAAGCAGGCAAUCGCUUGAAUACAUCAGCAUAGAAUAAUAAAAUAGGAUUUUGGUUCUAUUUUGUUGGUUUUGAGGACCAAAGUAAUGAUUAAAAGGAAUAGUUGGGGGCAUUACUAUUAAGAAGUCAGAGGUGAAAUUCUUGGAUUUUCUUAAGAGUCACUAGUGCGAAAGCAUUUGUCAAGGAUGUUUUCA